GGGCCAUGAUUAGUCAUUUAUCCGCGCUUCUGAGAUUAAUUCCAUGAAGUAGAGGAUGUAAAAUAAUGGUUGAAUUUCUUAAUAUGAGCCC
rfam:Spinacia oleracea cultivar SynViroflay scaffold5891.con0010.1, whole genome shotgun sequence.